rnacentral:rRNA from 1 species
UGGGGAAUAUUGGACAAUGGGCGCAAGCCUGAUCCAGCCAUGCCGCGUGUGUGAAGAAGGCCUUUUGGUUGUAAAGCACUUUAAGCGAGGAGGAGGCUACUUGGAUUAAUACUCUAGGAUAGUGGACGUUACUCGCAGAAUAAGCACCGGCUAACUCUGUGCCAGCAGCCGCGGUAAUACAGAGGGUGCGAGCGUUAAUCGGAUUUACUGGGCGUAAAGCGUGCGUAGGCGGCUUCUUAAGUCGGAUGUGAAAUCCCGGAGCUUAACUUAGGAAUUGCAUUCGAUACUGGGAAGCUAGAGUAUGGGAGAGGAUGGUAGAAUUCCAGGUGUAGCGGUGAAAUGCGUAGAGAUCUGGAGGAAUACCGAUGGCGAAGGCAUCCAUCUGGCCUAAUACUGACGCUGAGGUACGAAAGCAUGGGGAGCAAACAGG